AUAUCAUUUGUACGUGGUAUAUUGAAUCAUAGCCAUGUCGUUAGAAAUUUGUAUUUUAUAAAAAAAAAAAAUUGAAGUUGAAAUUUCCUCCAAAUCAUCUUCCUUCUUCCUCAAAUUCCCCAAAUCCCCCUCCUGUUUGAUAUUGUGAAGUUUAAAACAAAAAAAAAUCAGAAGACAAUAAGCAGAAAGGUUCUAAUAUUUUGGCUUCUUCGAGAUCUUUCUUCUCCAAAUCCACAUGAUGGGUAUGACUGUGCCGUCAUCUAAUGCAAUUUCAGUUUCCGCUUCAGACUUGCCUCCUGGGGAUACAUGGGCCAACCCAUGUUCUGAGUUAGCAGCUAAAACUAUAAUCGGCGAAGUUCCCAUGGUUAAUAAUUCUCGUGUCUGGAAUUCAUCACACCAGUUGCUCUUCUCAUCAGAAAUCAGUAGAAUUAAUCGAUCACCUUCUUCCCCAAAACGAGGAAAAAAAACUGAAUUCUUGCUCUGAUCAACAAAAUUGAUGAUGUAAAUUAUGAGCCAUCCAAAAUUAUUGCCCCAAUUUCAUUUACCGCUUAAAGGAAGUAAGUUUUCAUAGAUAGAGAUGAUUUAAUGAG
rnacentral:lncRNA from 1 species